rnacentral:rRNA from 1 species
CCCUUAGAUGUUCUGGGCCGCACGCGUGCUACACUGAGUGGAUCAGCGGGUCAGGUUGCGCGAAAGUGUUUCCUAAUCUUUAAAUCCGCUCGUGAUGGGGAUUGACGGUUGCAAUUUUCCGUCAUGAACGAGGAAUACCUUGUAAGCGCGGGUCAUCAUCCCGCGCUGAAUACGUCCAUGCCCUUUGUACACACCGCCCGUCGCUCCUACCGAUUGAGUGGUCCGGUGAGGCUUUGGGAUCUGAGCGGAAAGAGCGUUUCGCUGUUUCUGCCCGGAAAACUCAGUCGAACCUUAUCAUUUAGAGGAAGGAGAAGUCGUAACA